AAGGAUGAUGCUUUAACUUUCCUUUUUUUGCUCAUUUCAGAAUACUGGGAGAAAACAACUACAAAAGACCAUCAAGGAUUCACCAGCAAAGCUCAGCAAGCUUAUUGACUCGAAAAUGAAAUGAGUAGCACGACGGAGGCGUGCCUCAGACUCUAGUCAAUGAUGAUGCCAGCAUAGUAGUGAAAGCAGGAGAUGUUGUACUGUUGAAGUCCUAAACUAUUUCUUGGAGUCUUACCAUCUCCAAUUCCAAUUAUUUCUAAUUUUCUACACUCCUUGGCAGAAUGAUGCUCAUCUGCCUUGUCCUCUUCCCUUCCCUCACUGCAGAUUCAUGGUAUUUGCAUCAGAAUACUUUUAGUAGUCAAUCAAAC
rnacentral:lncRNA from 1 species